rnacentral:rRNA from 1 species
AUGGGGUGCAGCAGGGGAGAAAACUUUGCAAUGUGCGAAAGCACGACAAGGUUAAUCCGAGUGAUUUCUGCUAAAGAAAUCUUUUGCCAGUCAUAAAACCACUGGUGAAUAAGGGGUGGGCAAGUUCUGGUGUCAGCCGCCGCGGUAAAACCAGCACCUCAAGUGGUCAGGAUGAUUAUUGGGCCUAAAGCAUCCGUAGCCGGCUUUGUUAGUUUUCGGUUAAAUCUAUGUGCUCAACGCAUGGGCUGCCGAAAAUACUGCAUGGCUAGGGAGUGGGAGAGGUAGACGGUACUCAGUAGGAAGGGGUAAAAUCCUUUGAUCUAUUGAUGACCACCUGUGGCGAAGGCGGUCUACCAGAACACGUUCGACGGUGAGGGAUGAAAGCUGGGGGAGCAAACCGGAUUAGAUACCCGGGUAGUCCCAGCUGUAAACGAUGCAGACUCGAUGAUGCAUUGGCAUAUAGCCAGUGCAGUGUCGCAGGGAAGCCGUUAAGUCUGCCGCCUGGGAAGUACGUACGCAAGUAUGAAACUUAAAGGAAUUGGCGGGGGAGCAC